UAUGGCCACAUCACAUUGGAACACCAGUUCCCAUAUGAUUACUAAAGUUAAGCAAUGUUGAGCUGGGUCAGUACCUAGAUAGGUGACCACUUGAGAAUACCAGGCA